AUACGGAGGGUGCGAGCGUUAAUCGGAAUUACUGGGCGUAAAGCGUACGUAGGCGGUUGGUUAAGUUAGAUGUGAAAGCCCCGGGCUUAACCUGGGAACUGCAUUUAAAACUGGCGAACUAGAGUUGAGUAGAGGGGAGUGGAAUUUCAGGUGUAGCGGUGAAAUGCGUAGAGAUCUGAAGGAACACCAGUGGCGAAGGCGACUCCCUGGACUCGAACUGACGCUGAGGUACGAAAGCGUGGGUAGCAAACGGGAUUAGAUACCCUAGAAGUCC
rnacentral:rRNA from 1 species